CCUACGGGGGGCAGCAGUGAGGAAUAUUGGUCAAUGGGCGCGAGUCUGAACCAGCCAAGUAGCGUGAAGGAUGACUGCCCUAUGGGUUGUAAACUUCUUUUAUACGGGAAUAAAGUGAGCCACGUGUGCCUUUUUGUAUGUACCUUAUGAAUAAGGAUCGGCUAACUCCGUGCCAGCAGCCGCGGUAAUACGGAGGAUCCGAGCGUUAUCCGGAUUUAUUGGGUUUAAAGGGUGCGUAGAUGGGUGGUUAAGUCAGUGGUGAAAGUCUGCGGCUCAACCGUAAAAUUGCAUUUGAUACUGGUAGUCUAGAGUGUAGUUGAGGUAGGCGGAAUGCGUGGUGUAGCGGUGAAAUGCAUAGAUAUCACGCAGAACCCCGAUUGCGAAGGCAGCUUACCAAACUACAACUGACGUUGAGGCACGAAAGCGUGGGUAUCAAACAGGAUUAGAUACCCUUGUAGUC
rnacentral:rRNA from 1 species